UGGAAAUGAGGACAAAAACGCAAGUCUGAAUAAUAUGAAGACUUCUAAUCCAACGCUGAUCCCAACACUGUC